rnacentral:rRNA from 1 species
GACGAACGCUGGCGGCGUGCUUAACACAUGCAAGUCGAACGAUGAAGCGGUGCUUGCACCGUGGAUUAGUGGCGAACGGGUGAGUAACACGUGAGUAACCUGCCCUUGGCUCUGGGAUAAGCGCUGGAAACGGUGUCUAAUACUGGAUAUGACUUCAUGCCGCAUGGUGUGGGGUGGAAAGAUUUAUCGGCCAUGGAUGGGCUCGCGGCCUAUCAGCUUGUUGGUGGGGUAGUGGCCUACCAAGGCGACGACGGGUAGCCGGCCUGAGAGGGAGACCGGCCACACUGGGACUGAGACACGGCCCAGACUCCUACGGGAGGCAGCAGUGGGGAAUAUUGGACAAUGGGCGAAAGCCUGAUCCAGCAACGCCGCGUGAGGGAUGACGGCCUUCGGGUUGUAAACCUCUUUCAGCGCAGACGAAGCGAAAGUGACGGUAUGCGCAGAAGAAGGACCGGCCAACUACGUGCCAGCCGCCGCCGUAACAC